rnacentral:rRNA from 1 species
UACCAGCACCCCGAGUGGUCGGGACGAUUAUUGGGCCUAAAGCAUCCGUAGCCGGUUCUGCAAGUCCCCCGUUAAAUCCAGCUGCUCAACAGAUGGGCCGCGGAGGAUACUACAGAGCUAGGAGGCAGGAGAGGCAAGCGGUACUCAGUGGGUAGGGGUAAAAUCCGUUGAUCCAUUGAAGACCACCAGUGGCGAAGGCGGCUCACUGGCUCAUUUCUGACGCUCAGGCGCGACAGCGUGGGGAUCAAACAGG